AGGAGAGUAGCUCAACGGUAGAGUCGCGGUCUCCAAAACCGUCGGUUGCAUGUUCGAAUCGUGUCUCUCCUGCCA
rnacentral:tRNA from 1 species